rnacentral:misc_RNA from 1 species
GAUGAAGAACGCAGCGAAAUGCGAUAAGUAGUGUGAAUUGCAGAAUUCAGUGAAUCAUCGAAUCUUUGAACGCACAUUGCGCCCCUUGGUAUUCCAUGGGGCAUGCCUGUUCGAGCGUCAUUUGUACCCUCAAGCUUUGCUUGGUGUUGGGUGUUUGUCCUCUCCUUUGCGUUUGGACUCGCCUUAAAGCAACUGGCAGCCAGUGUUUUGGUAUUGAAGCGCAGCACAUUUUGCGAUUCUAGCCGAUAAUACUUGCGUCCAUAAGCCUUUUUUAACUUUUGACCUCGGAUCAGGUAGGGAUACCCGCUGAACUUAAGCAUAUCAAUAAGCGGAGGA